CUUCCAGACUCCCAGGGUAAUAGUUCUAGUUACCCCACAGGCAACCAAGGUUCCCCACCUUCUGGUUCUGAUGCCAACACAAACCAAGAAAAUUCCCAAGGUAAUGGAUAUGGUUCCAAUUCAAACAAGCAAG